rnacentral:lncRNA from 1 species
AUGGGAAAGACUAGAGAUCUUUUCAAGAAAAUUAGAGAUACCAAGGGAACAUUUCAUGCAAAGAUGGGCACAAAAAAGGACAGAAAUGGUAUGGACCUGACAGAAGCAGAAGAUAUUAAGAAGAGGUGGCAAGAAUACACAGAAAAACUGUACAAAAAAGAUCUUCACAAACCAGAUAAUCAUGAUGAUGUGAUCACUAAUCUAGAGCCAGACAUCUUGGAAAGUGAAGUCAAGUGGGCCUUAGGAAGCAUCACUAUGAACAAAGCUAGUGGAGGUGAUGGAAUUCCAGUUGAGCUAUUUCAAAUCCUGAAAGAUGAUGCUGUGAAAGUGCUGUGCACAAUAUGCCAGCAAAUUUGGAAAACUCAGCAGUGGCCACAGGACUGGAAAAGGUCAGUUUUCAUUCCACUCCCAAAGAAAGGCAAUACCAAAGAAUGCUCAAACUACUGCACAAUUGCACUCAUCUCACAUGCUAGUAAAGUAAUGCUCAAAAUUCUCCAAGCCAGGCUUCAGCAAUAUGUGAACCGUGAACUCUCUGAUGUUCAAGCUGGUUUUAGAAAAGGCAGAGGAACCAGAGGUCAAAUUGCCAACAUCUGCUGGAUCAUGGAAAAAGCAAGAGAGUUUCAGAAAAACAUCUAUUUCUGCUUUAUUGGCUAUGCCAAAGCCUUUGACUGUGUGGAUCACAAUAAACUGUGGAAAAGUAUGAAAGAGAUGGGAAUACCAGACCACCUGACCUGCCUCUUGAGAAAUCUGUAUGCAGGCCAGGAAGCAACAGUUAGAACUGGACAUGGAACAACAGACUGGUUCCAAAUAGGAAAAGGAGUACGUCAAGACUGUAUAUGGUCACCCUGCUUAUUUAACUUCUAUGCAGAGUACAUCAUGAGAAACGCUGGGCUGGAAGAAACACAAGCUCGAAUCAAAAUUGCUUGGAGAAAUAUCAAUAACCUCAGAUAUGCAGAUGACACCACCUUUAUGGCAAAAAGUGAAGAGGAGCUAGAAAGCCUCUUGAUGAAAGUAAAAGAGGAGAGCGAAAAACUUGGCUUAAAUCUCAACAUUCAGAAGUCGAAGAUUAUGGCAUCUGGUCCAAUCACUUUAUGGGAAAUAGAUGGGGAAACAGUGGAAACAGUGUCAGACUUUAUUCUUUGGGGUUCCAAAAUCACUGCAGAUGGUGACUGCAGCCAUGAAAUUAAAAGACGCUUACUCCUUGGAAGAAAAGUUAUGACCAACCUAGAUAGUAUAUUCAAAAGCAGAGACAUUACUUUGUCAACUAAGGUCCAUCUAGUCAAGGCUAUGGUCUUUCCUGUGGUCAUGUAUGGAUGUGAGAGUUGGACUGUGAAGAAGGCUGAACGCAGAAGAAUUGAUGCUUUUGAACUGUGGUGUUGGAGAAGACUCUUGAGAGUCCCUUGGACUGCAAGGAGAUCCAACCAGUCCAUUCUGAAGGAGAUAAACCCUGGGAUUUGUUUGGAAGGAAUGAUGCUAAAGCUGAAACUCCAGUACUUUGGCCAUCUCAUGCGAAAUGUUGACUCACUGGAAAAGACUGAUGCUGGGAGGGAUUGGGGGCAGGAGGAGAAGGGGAUGACCGAGGAUGAGAUGGCUGGAUGGCAUCACGGACUCAAUGGAGGUGAGUCUGAGUGA